rnacentral:rRNA from 1 species
AUUAGUUUUAAUUUUGAAUUUUGAAUUAAUUAUUUAUAUAAAAUUUAUAUAAAAUUUAUUUAAAAAUUUAAUAUUUAAUAUUUAAUAUUAAUAAUUUUAAUAAUUUUAUAUUAAUGAUAUAAAUAAACUUUAUUAAAUUAUUUGUGCCAGCAAAUGCGGUUAAACAUAAAAUAUAAAUUAAUUUAUAAAGUUUAAUAUAUAAAAUUUAUUUAAAUAGGUUUUUAUUAAUAAUUAAGUGAAAUUUUUAUUAUAAAUAAUUUUAUUUUUAAUAUAAUUUUAUUUUUAAUAUUAAAAAUAAAAUUAGGAUUUGAUACCCUAUUAUAUUAAUUUUAAUUUUAAUAAAAAAUUAAAUAUUAGAUUAUUAAAUUUAAAGAAUAUGGUGGUAUUUUAAUUAUUAGAGGAAUUUGAUGAUUAAUUUGAUAAUUCACAAUAAGAUUAACUUUAAUAAUAAUUUAUGUAUAUUUAUUUUAAUAUAUUAAAAUUAAUAAAUUAUGAUUUAUUAAUUAAAAUAAUUUAAAUCAAUAUUUAAUUAAUAUUAUAGAUUUAAUUGAAUUACAUUAAUAUUUAUUUAUAAUUGUUUUUAAAUUUUAAUAUAGCUUUAAUUAUUGGAUUUAAUUUUAAUUUUAAAUAAUUUUUUAAAAUGAAUUUUAUUAAAAUAAAUAUAAAUUGCCCGUCAUUCUUUAUUUUAAAGACAAGUCGAAACAAGGUAAAGUUAUUGGAAAAUAAUUUUAGUU